UGCAGGUGUGAAAUGUGACAACACUGAGAGUCUAAAGACGCAAUUACACCUUAUGUAUGCAUAUAAACCCCAAAGACACCUCACACAAUAAGCCACCAGCAUUUAGGUGUGUUGCCACCACUGACUGACGGCUAUGGUACACCGCUCGUCUCUCAACAUCUUAUCCCUCAAAAUGUGGCGCGCCUUCCUGCUGGUAUUAGUUGUGUUAGUGGUGAUGACUGCUAUCGUUAACGCUUACCCGCGCAGACACGGCGGAAGCGGUGGCGGCCUAGGCGGUGGCGGCAGCCUAGGCUGUGGCGGGGAAGGGUUCGGCAAAUAAUACGACCACCACCACUCCUGACGACCACUGUACCACCACCACCACCACCACCACGGACGACCCCUGCCGUCUUCCCUCCCUUCUCUGCUUCCUUCUGUCCUUGAACCACACUAUUAAACUUUAGAAAUAUUGGCAUUAGCUUUGUAUCUCUAAUUUAGCUAAGGAAACCUCUCUCUCUCUCUCUCUCUCUCUCUCUCUCUGAUUGACU